GACGAACGCUGGCGGCGUGCUUAACACAUGCAAGUCGAACGGAAAGGCCCUGCUUUUGUGGGGUGCUCGAGUGGCGAACGGGUGAGUAACACGUGAGUAACCUGCCCUUGACUUUGGGAUAACUUUAGGAAACUGGGGCUAAUACCGGAUAGGAGCUCCUGCUGCAUGGUGGGGGUUGGAAAGUUUCGGCGGUUGGGGAUGGACUCGCGGCUUAUCAGCUUGUUGGUGGGGUAGUGGCUUACCAAGGCUUUGACGGGUAGCCGGCCUGAGAGGGUGACCGGCCACAUUGGGACUGAGAUACGGCCCAGACUCCUACGGGAGGCAGCAGUGGGGAAUAUUGCACAAUGGGCGGAAGCCUGAUGCAGCAACGCCGCGUGCGGGAUGACGGCCUUCGGGUUGUAAACCGCUUUCGCCUGUGACGAAGCGUGAGUGACGGUAAUGGGUAAAGAAGCACCGGCUAACUACGUG
rnacentral:rRNA from 1 species